rnacentral:rRNA from 1 species
AGAGUUUGAUCCUGGCUCAGGACGAACGCUGGCGGCGUGCUUAACACAUGCAAGUCGAACGGAAAGGCCCUUCGGGGUACUCGAGUGGCGAACGGGUGAGUAACACGUGGGUGAUCUGCCCUGCACUUUGGGAUAAGCCUGGGAAACUGGGUCUAAUACCGAAUAGGACCACGCGCUUCAUGGUGUGUGGUGGAAAGCUUUUGCGGUGUGGGAUGGGCCCGCGGCCUAUCAGCUUGUUGGUGGGGUAAUGGCCUACCAAGGCGACGACGGGUAGCCGGCCUGAGAGGGUGACCGGCCACACUGGGACUGAGAUACGGCCCAGACUCCUACGGGAGGCAGCAGUGGGGAAUAUUGCACAAUGGGCGCAAGCCUGAUGCAGCGACGCCGCGUGAGGGAUGACGGCCUUCGGGUUGUAAACCUCUUUCAAUAGGGACGAAGCGCAAGUGACGGUACCUAUAGAAGAAGCACCGGCCAACUACGUGCCAGCAGCCGCGGUAAUACGUAGGGUGCGAGCGUUGUCCGGAAUUACUGGGCGUAAAGAGCUCGUAGGUGGUUUGUCGCGUUGUUCGUGAAAACUCACAGCUUAACUGUGGGCGUGCGGGCGAUACGGGCAGACUAGAGUACUGCAGGGGAGACUGGAAUUCCUGGUGUAGCGGUGGAAUGCGCAGAUAUCAGGAGGAACACCGGUGACGAAGGCGGGUCUCUGGGCAGUAACUGACGCUGAGGAGCGAAAGCGUGGGGAGCGAACAGGAUUAGAUACCCUGGUAGUC